GGCUGGGCCGCUGGUAGUGGGUUAUCGGAACUUAUUAACAUUAGUGUCACUAAAGUUGGUGUUCAACCCCCCACUGCUAAAUUUGACUGGCUUUAA
rnacentral:Y_RNA from 1 species